rnacentral:rRNA from 1 species
UACGUAGGGUGCGAGCGUUAAUCGGAUUUACUGGGCGUAAAGCGUGCGCAGGCGGCCCGUUAAGACAGGUGUGAAAUCCCUGGGCUCAACCUAGGAAUUGCGCUUGUGACUGGCGGGCUCGAGUACGGUAGUGGGGGGUGGAAUUCCUGGUGUAGCAGUGAAAUGCGUAGAGAUCAGGAGGAACACCGAUGGCGAAGGCAGCCCCCUGGGCCUGUACUGACGCUCAUGCACGAAAGCGUGGGGAGCAAACAGG